rnacentral:rRNA from 1 species
GAUGAACGCUAGCGGCAGGCUUAAUACAUGCAAGUCGUGGGGCAGCGCAGUGUAGCAAUACAUGGGCGGCGACCGGCAAACGGGUGCGUAACACGUACGCAACCUUCCCGUUACUGGGGAAUAGCCCAGGGAAACUUGGAUUAAUACCCCAUAUUAUAUUGAUUGGGCAUCUAAUUAAUAUCAAAGCUUCGGCGGUAACGGAUGGGCGUGCGGUUGAUUAGGUAGUUGGCGGGGUAACGGCCCACCAAGCCUACGAUCAAUAGCUGAUGUGAGAGCAUGAUCAGCCACACGGGCACUGAGAGACGGGCCCGACUCCUACGGGAGGCAGCAGUAAGGAAUAUUGGGCAAUGGACGAAAGUCUGACCCAGCCAUGCCGCGUGGAGGAUGAAGGUCCUCUGGAUUGUAAACUUCUUUUUUCUGGGGCGAAAACCGGUUUUUCUAAACCAUUUGACAGUACCAGAAGAAUAAGCACCGGCUAACUCCGUGCCAGCCGCCGCCGUAAGAC